rnacentral:rRNA from 1 species
UACGAAGGGGGCGAGCGUUGUUCGGAUUUACUGGGCGUAAAGGGCUCGUAGGCGGUUUGUCGCGUCAGGAGUGAAAACUCGGGGCUUAACCCCGAGCCUGCUUCUGAUACGGGCAGACUAGAGGUAUGCAGGGGAGAACGGAAUUCCUGGUGUAGCGGUGAAAUGCGCAGAUAUCAGGAGGAACACCGGUGGCGAAGGCGGUUCUCUGGGCAUUACCUGACGCUGAGGAGCGAAAGUGUGGGGAGCAAACAGG